GAUGAACGCUGGCGGCGUGCCUAAUACAUGCAAGUCGAGCGAACAGAUGAGGAUCUUGCUCCUCUGACGUUAGCGGCGGACGGGUGAGUAACACGUGGAUAACCUACCUAUAAGACUGGGAUAACUUCGGGAAACCGGAGCUAAUACCGGAUAAUCUAUUGAACCGCAUGGUUCAAUAGUGAAAGACGGUUUUGCUGUCACUUAUAGAUGGAUCCGCGCCGCAUUAGCUAGUUGGUAAGGUAACGGCUUACCAAGGCAACGAUGCGUAGCCGACCUGAGAGGGUGAUCGGCCACACUGGAACUGAGACACGGUCCAGACUCCUACGGGAGGCAGCAGUAGGGAAUCUUCCGCAAUGGGCGAAAGCCUGACGGAGCAACGCCGCGUGAGUGAUGAAGGUCUUCGGAUCGUAAAACUCUGUUAUUAGGGAAGAACAAAUGUGUAAGUAACUAUGCACGUCUUGACGGUACCUAAUCAGAAAGCCACGGCUAACUACGUG
rnacentral:rRNA from 1 species